UGGAUCCAGACUUUGAUUAUGGCUCAGGAUGAACGCUAGCUACAGGCUUAACACAUGCAAGUCGAGGGGAAACGAUAUUGGAAGCUUGCUUCCGAUAGGCGUCGACCGGCGCACGGGUGAGUAACGCGUAUCCAACCUGCCCACCACUUGGGGAUAACCUUGCGAAAGUAAGACUAAUACCCAAUGACGUCUCUAGAAGACAUCUGAAAGAGAUUAAAGAUUUAUCGGUGAUGGAUGGGGAUGCGUCUGAUUAGCUUGUUGGCGGGGUAACGGCCCACCAAGGCGACGAUCAGUAGGGGUUCUGAGAGGAAGGUCCCCCACAUUGGAACUGAGACACGGUCCAAACUCCUACGGGAGGCAGCAGUGAGGAAUAUUGGUCAAUGGACGAGAGUCUGAACCAGCCAAGUAGCGUGCAGGAAGACGGCCCUAUGGGUUGUAAACUGCUUUUAUAAGGGAAUAAAGUUAGUCUCGUGAGACUUUUUGCAUGUACCUUAUGAAUAAGGACCGGCUAAUUCCGUGCCAGCAGCCGCGGUAAUACGGAAGGUCCGGGCGUUAUCCGGAUUUAUUGGGUUUAAAGGGAGCGUAGGCCGGAGAUUAAGCGUGUUGUGAAAUGUAGAUGCUCAACAUCUGAACUGCAGCGCGAACUGGUUUCCUUGAGUACGCACAAAGUGGGCGGAAUUCGUGGUGCAGCGGUGAAAUGCUUAGAUAUCACGAAGAACUCCGAUUGCGAAGGCAGCUCACUGGAGCGCAACUGACGCUGAAGCUCGAAAGUGCGGGUAUCGAACAGGAUUAGAUACCCUGGUAGUCCGCACGGUAAACGAUGGAUGCCCGCUGUUGGUCUGAAUAGGUCAGCGGCCAAGCGAAAGCAUUAAGCAUCCCACCUGGGGAGUACGCCGGCAACGGUGCAACUCAAAUGAAUUGACGGA
rnacentral:rRNA from 1 species